AGUCAAAAGUCAAGAUCGACUCAAGUGUUGUAUAAAUGGUGUACUUUGUUCGAAUACUCUAGAGAAUGAGUCGAGACUCGAUUAAUGGGAGGCUGUUCGAGGGCUCCAUAG